rnacentral:rRNA from 1 species
UACGAAGGGGGCUAGCGUUGCUCGGAAUCACUGGGCGUAAAGCGCACGUAGGCGGAUUGUUAAGUCAGGGGUGAAAUCCUGGAGCUCAACUCCAGAACUGCCUUUGAUACUGGCGAUCUUGAGUCCGGGAGAGGUGAGUGGAACUGCGAGUGUAGAGGUGAAAUUCGUAGAUAUUCGGAAGAACACCAGUGGCGAAGGCGGCUCACUGGCCCGGUACUGACGCUCAGGUGCGAAAGCGUGGGGAGCAAGCAGG